UUUCCGUAGGUGAACCUGCGGAAGGAUCAUUACCGAGUGAGGGCCCUCUGGGUCCAACCUCCCACCCGUGUUUAUCGUACCUUGUUGCUUCGGCGGGCCCGCCGCAAGGCCGCCGGGGGGCAUCUGCCCUCUGGCCCGCGCCCGCCGAAGACACCAUUGAACGCUGCCUGAAGAUUGCAGUCUGAGCAAUUAGUUAAAUAACUUAAAACUUUCAACAACGGAUCUCUUGGUUCCG
rnacentral:misc_RNA from 1 species